UGAGGAAUAUUGGUCAAUGGACGCAAGUCUGAACCAGCCAUGCCGCGUGCAGGAUGACGGCUCUAUGAGUUGUAAACUGCUUUUGUACGAGGGUAAACCCCGAUACGUGUAUCGGGUUGAAAGUAUCGUACGAAUAAGGAUCGGCUAACUCCGUGCCAGCAGCCGCGGUAAUACGGAGGAUCCGAGCGUUAUCCGGAUUUAUUGGGUUUAAAGGGUGCGUAGGCGGUUUGAUAAGUUAGAGGUGAAAUGUCGGGGCUCACCCCCGAAACUGCCUCUAAUACUGUUGGACUAGAGAAUAGUUGCGGUAGGCGGAAUGUAUGGUGUAGCGGUGAAAUGCUUAGAGAUCAUACAGAACACCGAUUGCGAAGGCAGCUUACCAAACUAUAUCUGACGUUGAGGCACGAAAGCGUGGGUAGCAAACAGG
rnacentral:rRNA from 1 species